rnacentral:tRNA from 1 species
AAUAUUUUAAUAUAUAAGUAUAUUUAAUUUCCAAUUAAAAAGUUAAGA